GACAGAGGGGGGCAAGCGUUGCUCGGAAUUACUGGGCGUAAAGCGUGCGUAGGUGGUUUGUUAAGUCUGAUGUGAAAGCCCUGGGCUCAACCUGGGAACGGCAUUGGAAACUGGCUUACUAGAGUGCGGUAGAGGGGUGUGGAAUUCCCGGUGUAGCAGUGAAAUGCGUAGAUAUCGGGAGGAACAUCUGUGGCGAAGGCGACACCCUGGACCAGCACUGACACUGAGGCACGAAAGCGUGGGGAGCAAACAGG
rnacentral:rRNA from 1 species